UUGACAAUCUUAUCGUGAAGGCAUACUUUCAGGAGUGAGGGUAGAGCGGGGUUUCCCCCGCCCUGGUAGUUUUAGUAAGCGGGGAAGCUUAUGACUAAGAGCACCACGAUGAUGAGUAGCUUCAUCAUGACCCUUUCCUUAUU
rnacentral:sRNA from 1 species